UAUAUUUGCGCCGCUGAAUAGCAUACAUAAAAAUCAUUUAAAAUAAUAUUGGAAUG
rnacentral:ncRNA from 1 species